rnacentral:siRNA from 1 species
AGAUUCGCGUUGCAUCCGUUAUCA